GGGACUGUAGCUCAGUUGGUAGAGCAACGGACUGAAAAUCCGUGUGUCGGCGGUUCGAUUCCGCCCGGUCCCA
rnacentral:tRNA from 1 species